rnacentral:rRNA from 1 species
ACUCCUACGGGAGGCAGCAGUGGGAAUCUUGCGCAAUGGGCGAAAGCCUGACGCAGCGACGCCGCGUGCGGGAUGACGGCCCUAGUGGUUGUAAACCGCUUUCAGCAGGGACGAAAAUGACGGUACCUGCAGAAGAAGUCCCGGCUAACUACGUGCCAGCAGCCGCGGUAAUACGUAGGGGACAAGCGUUGUCCGGAUUCAUUGGGCGUAAAGAGCUCGUAGGCGGUUCAGUAAGUUGGGUGUGAAAGCUCCGGGCUCAACCCGGAGAGGCCACUCAAUACUGCUGUGACUAGAGUCCAGUAGAGGAGCGUGGAACUCCUGGUGUAGCGGUGAAAUGCGCAGAUAUCAGGAAGAACACCGGCAGCGAAGGCGGCGCUCUGGGCUGGUACUGACGCUGAGGAGCGAAAGCAUGGGUAGCAAACAGGAUUAGAUCCCCUGGUAGGCUCUGCU